rnacentral:rRNA from 1 species
GUGGGGAAUAUUGGGCAAUGGGCGAAAGCCUGACCCAGCAACGCCGCGUGAAGGAAGAAGGUCUUCGGAUCGUAAACUUCUAUCCUUGGUGAAGAUAAUGACGGUAGCCGAGAAGGAAGCCCCGGCUAACUACGUGCCUGCAGCCGCGGUAAUACGUAGGGGGCAAGCGUUGUCCGGAAUGAUUGGGCGUAAAGGGCGCGUAGGCGGCCUGGUAAGUCUGGAGUGAAAGUCCUGCUUUUAAGGUGGGAAUUGCUUUGGAUACUGUCGGGCUUGAGUGCAGGAGAGGUAAGUGGAAUUCCCGGUGUAGCGGUGAAAUGCGUAGAGAUCGGGAGGAACACCAGUGGCGAAGGCGACUUACUGGACUGUAACUGACGCUGAGGCGCGAAAGUGUGGGGAGCAAACAGGAUUAGAUACCCUUGUAGUCC